ACACAUGCAAGUCGAACGGAGUUACUCUCCAGCUUGCUGGAGAACUAACUUAGUGGCGCACGGGUGAGUAACACGUGGGUAACCUACCCGAAAGACUGGGAUAACACCCCGAAAGGGGUGCUAAUACCGGAUACCUUUAUAAGUUUGCAUGAACUUAUAAAGAAAGUUUUUUCGCUUUCGGAUGGGCCCGCGUCCCAUUAGCUAGUUGUGUGAGGUAACGGCUCACCAAGGCGACGAUGGGUAGCCCGGCCUGAGAGGGUGGACGGCCACACUGGGACUGAGACACGGCCCAGACUCCUACGGGAGGCAGCAGUAGGGAAUAUUGCGCAAUGGACGGAAGUCUGACGCAGCGACGCCGCGUGAGCGAUGAAGGUCUUCGGAUCGUAAAGCUCUGUCCUUGGGGAAGAGGGCGAAAGCUUGACGGAUCCCAGAAGAAGCCCGGCUAACUACGUGCCAGCAGCCGCGGUAUACGUAGGGGCGAGCGUGUCCGAAUACUGGCGUAAGGGUGCGUAGCGGCCUUGAGCUGGAGUAAGCCGC
rnacentral:rRNA from 1 species